rnacentral:rRNA from 1 species
CCUGGCCUUGACAUACUAAGAACUUUCCAGAGAUGGAUUGUGCCUUCGGGAACUUAGAUACAGGUGCUGCAUGGCUGUCGUCAGCUCGUGUCGUGAGAUGUUGGGUUAAGUCCCGCAACGAGCGCAACCCUUUUCCUUAUUUGCCAGCGGGUUAAGCCGGGAACUUUAAGGAUACUGCCAGUGACAAACUGGAGGAAGGCGGGGACGACGUCAAGUCAUCAUGGCCCUUACGGCCAGGGCUACACACGUGCUACAAUGGUCGGUACAAAGGGUUGCUACCUCGCGAGAGGAUGCUAAUCUCAAAAAGCCGAUCGUAGUCCGGAUCGCAGUCUGCAACUCGACUGCGUGAAGUCGGAAUCGCUAGUAAUCGCGGAUCAGAAUGCCGCGGUGAAUACGUUCCCGGGCCUUGUACACACCGCCCGUCACACCAUGGGAGUUUGUUGCACCAGAAGUAGGUAGUCUAACCGCAAGGAGGACGCUUACCACGGUGUGGCCGAUGACUGGGGUGAAGUCGUAACAAGGUAAGCGUAGAUGA